rnacentral:misc_RNA from 1 species
GAUGAAGAACGUAGCGAAAUGUGAUAAGUAAUGUGAAUUGCAGAAUUCAGUGAAUCAUCGAAUCUUUGAACGCACAUUGCGCCCGCCAGCACUCUGGCGGGCAUGCCUGUUCGAGCGUCAUUUCAACCAUCAAGCCCCCAGGGGCUUGUGCUGGGGCCCUGCGGCUGCCCGCAGGCCCUGAAAACCAGUGGCGGGCUCGCUAGUCACACCGAGCGCAGUAGCACAUCUCGCUCAGGGCGUGCGGCGGGCUCCUGCCGUGAAACCCCCCACUGUAACCCCAAAGGUUGACCUCGGAUCAGGUAGGAAUACCCGCUGAACUUAAGCAUAUCAAUAAGCGGAGGA